rnacentral:rRNA from 1 species
UACGGAAGGCAGCAGAGGGGAAUAUUGCACAGUGGGCGCAAGCCUGAUGCAGCCAUGCCGCGUGUAUGAAGAAGGCCUUCGGGUUGUAAAGUACUUUCAGUCGUGAGGAAGGUGUUAAGGUUAAUAACCUUAGCAAUUGACGUUAGCGACAGAAGAAGCACCGGCUAACUCCGUGCCAGCAGCCGCGGUAAUACGGAGGGUGCGAGCGUUAAUCGGAAUUACUGGGCGCAAAGGGCACGCAGGCGGUUAAUUAAGUUGGAUGUGAAAUCCCCGGGCUUAACCUGGGAAUGGCAUUCAAGACUGGUUAGCUAGAGUCUUGUAGAGGGGGUAGAAUUCCAUGUGUAGCGGUGAAAUGCGUAGAGAUGUGGAGGAAUACCGGUGGCGAAGGCGGCCCCUGGACAAAGGCUGACGCUCGAUGUGCGAAAGCGUGGGGAGCAAACGAGGAUUAGAUACC